CAAAGUGUAGCUUAAACAAAGCAUCCGGCCUACACCCGGAAGAUUUCAUAAAUUUGACCGCUUUGA
rnacentral:tRNA from 1 species